rnacentral:siRNA from 1 species
UGACACAACAGUUUCCGGUAGCUU